rnacentral:rRNA from 1 species
GGAGGCAGCAGUGGGGAAUCUUGGACAAUGGGCGAAAGCCUGAUCCAGCGACGCCGCGUGAAGGAAGAAGUCCCUCGGGAUGUAAACUUCUGAACUAAUCGAAUAAAAGGGUAGUGGACACACUACAGAAGAAGGUAGGUUAGGAAAAGUCCCGGCUAACUACGUGCCAGCAGCCGCGGUAAGACGUAGGGGGCGAGCGUUGCCCGGAAUUACUGGGUGUAAAGGGGACGUAGGCGGGUGAUCAAGUCAUCUGUGAAAAGAUUGCUCAACGAUCGGCUUGCGGAUGAAACUGAUCAUCUUGGGCGUAGCAGAGGUAGACGGAAUUACCUGAGUAGGGGUGAAAUCCGCAGAUACAGGUAAGAACGCCGGUGAAGAAGUUGGUCUACUGGGCUACAGCUGACGCUGAGGUCCGAAAGCCAGGGGAGCAAACCGGAUUAGAUACCCGGGUAGUCCUGGCCCUAAACGAUGUUACAAG